UUGUGGAGGAGGACGCCGAAGGUGGGGCUAAUGACUGGGGUGAAGUCGUAACAAGGUAGCCGUACCGGAAGGUGCGGCUGGAUCACCUCCUAACAGGGAGACAACAAAAUGUUUAAUAUUAUUUUGUCACCUUAGGUCGAUCGGUAUCUCACAUUCUUAACUUAUAAAGAAUUUCAUUUCCUGAGUUUUUCUAGGUCACACCCAUUAUUUUUCCUGGGCCAUUAGCUCAGGUGGUUAGAGCGCACCCCUGAUAAGGGUGAGGUCCCUGGUUCAAGUCCAGGAUGGCCCAUAUCUCUAUGUUGGGGGUAUAGCUCAGUUGGUAGAGCGCCUGCUUUGCAAGCAGGAUGUCAGCGGUUCGAGUCCGCUUACCUCCACUGAUUACCACCUCUUUCAUAAUCGGAAAUAAGGAAAUGUUUUGAGUUGUGAUCAAAUUCUGAACGAAUCUAGCUUCCUAAUGAAAUCAUUAAGAUGCUGGACUCAUUGAAUUAAUUUCAUUGUUUUCAGAGAACCUUGACAACUGCAUAGAUUAUUUUUAAAGACAAUAAGCAUCUUUAAUGAUGCAGAUUUAUUAUUUGUGCGAAUGCAUUAAUAACAAUUCUAUUAAGCUGAUGCUUCAAUUU
rnacentral:misc_RNA from 1 species